AGAGAGAGACAUGCGUGCAUAUCAAUAAGCGGAGGAAAAGAAACUAACAAGGAUCCCCUUAGUAACGGCGAGGUGAAGCGGGAAGAGCUCAAAUUUGAAAUCUUCAAGGUUCUACCUUGACGAAUUGUAGUUUAUAGAAGUGUUUUCUGUUAGUGGAAGUGGCAAAAGUUCUUUGGAAUAGGACAUCAUAGAGGGUGAGAAUCCCGUAUUUGGUCAUUCCUCCUAGCGUUGUGAUACACUUUCAACGAGUCGGAUUGUUUGGGAAUGCAGUCCAAAAUGGGUGGUAAAUUUCAUCUAAAGCUAAAUAUUGGCGAAGAGACCGAUAGCGAACAAGUACCGUGAGGGAAAGAUGAAAAGAACUUUGAAAAGAGAGUUAAACAGUACGUGAAAUUGUCAAAAGGGAAGCGUUUGACACCAGUGUUGUUUUUCCGUAAAAUCAAUUACGAAUGUUUUGUUUUUGAGGAGUUAUGACUUCAUCGGCUUGCUCCUUUCUUUACGAAACUUUCUUAAUGCACUUUUCGGUUAACAAGGUCAACAUCAAUUUCUUUUGUUGUAAAAGGGUAUGAGGAAGGUGGCUUUCUUUUCGGAGAAAGUGUUUAUAGCCUUGUGCCUCUGCAAUCGGAGGAGAUUGAGGUCUGCAGCGUAGAUCCUUCGGGGUUAGAUACAUUUGUGCUAAGUUAUAGCUUUUCAUAGACAACUUGUUGACUAUGUUUAGUCUUGUAGCUUACUCGCUUACUGCCUAUUUUACCUACGCUUAGGAUGUUGAUAGUCACAGCGUGUAC
rnacentral:rRNA from 1 species